UCAAUUCUGUUGAUUUUUAAUCGUGCAUUCUCUCUGUUUACAGGUAUAAUUGGAGCUGGAACAGGCGCUGCUUCGUGUACGUGUGCUGGAGCCGAUGGCUGGAGUACUGGAUGAAAGACUUCUUCGAAGUUGAUAUCUGAUGUGGUCGAUGAAGCUGAAGAAAUCGAGUAUUGAUCGCAUUGACGUGGAGGUUUAGCAGACGUACCGGAAUCAGAUGGCAGCGGCGAAUCGAUUUUGGCUGGAACAGCAGCUUUUUCAUCAUCGGAGCUCGAUUCGGACAGAUUUAUCUCAGGAAUGGCGAUCGCUGGCAUCGACGCUGGAGCGGAGAAGCUGUCGAAGUUCGGAAGCUAGCUGGGAAUUACGUUCGUGCUGAUUAUUCAUCGCGAUAUUCAUCUCAGUGAGCUGAGCUCUGGUAGCGUUAUUGAUGAUGAGGCGAAUGCUUUCGGCGAUUGGUGAUUUUUGAACGACGAUCUCACGUAGCGCUUUGAUAUUAAUAUUCGCGACGCACUUUUUGAACGGACAAGGUAUUUUUCGCUCUUUAAGAGUUUUUGUUUUAAUCAUAAAGCACUUCAAGUGCACCAAAUGGUUACACUCCUUACCAGUGAUUAAUACCGCAGGUCCAGUGGCACCGGACGGAGGAACAGCGAGCGAACCGUCACAGAAAGGGCAGACAGCUAUCGAGAGCUCACAAGUAUGAUCAAUUUCCGCGUUGGCCAUAGCACUGGCAAAUUAAUUAGAAUUAAUAAUUGUAAUUAUAAAAUGAAUGACCGGAAACUCGAAUAAAUAAACGGCUUGAUUAGCGAACGAACUGAACGGAGACAUACGAUCCUUACGAAGAACAGAUUACUUAUGAAGACAGAAUCAGUACUUGCGUAAAUUCCUGGUGAAAAAAUGGCCUAAAAGGCUGCUGGUGGAAGGGAUUAUCUCGCAAAUAUCUUGUUAAAUGUUGGGUAAAGGGAGUAGAAAGCUAUCUGCGAUAGCUGUAGAUUAUCGCUAGAUGUCUGGCAAAUUCUAUAUUUAAUACCUUAUCUAUUGUAGACAGCAUUGUUAGAAUAAUUGCAUUUUAGAAGAUAUAUUUGUUGAUAAUUUCUGUCUGUAUGCUAUUUUUAUCCUUGAAUAAAUAGAAUCAAUAGAAUCAA